rnacentral:rRNA from 1 species
UUCGUCCAAGAUAGUAAAAAUAGCGGGCGAACGUUGGGGUGGGGGCACCGAUCCCAAGGCCCGUUCCGAAGCGGCCGAGCAGAGGCCGCCGGGGUCAAUAAACCGAGUAGCAGCACAGCGUUCAAAGACUGCAGCGACAUGUGACACCUGAAGCGGUCUUUAGGCAGACGUGUAUGAAGUGGCGGACGGCCUUGAAGCAGACUGGACUCCCACCUCUCCGCUUGGAGUUUAGGCGUUGUAGACUAGAACGAGCGACUCAACGAUAAGGACCAUAUGUUGGGAAUUUGUGUUCGUACAGAAAUAAAUUAACAAAUAGAACGAAACGAUGUUACCUUCUUUAUUUUUAUUCUUUGUUAAAAGCACCACCUAGAGAACCUUUUAAACCUUGUCAUAAACUAGACCCCUGUUGUUGAUACUUUUGUUAACUAGAACCUAAACUCAAAGAAAAUUAGAAAUUUUACUACAUGCCCCGGUCGUUUAAGUCAAUAAACCAAAACAUUCAAACUAUAAAGACUUUGAACAAUCCUAAAUCCCACGUAUAGUCCUAUACACGUAGUGCGAGUUACCACUCUGCUCUUGGACUAGGCCAGUGUAUAAAGAAAACAAAGAGACGGUACAAGUUUAUAUCUUUUGUACAUCGAAUCAGCUAUGAUUUACAAACCGUGGUCUCAAAAAAGCGUCAUUAGUCUACAAAAAAAAUGACUUCCGGAAGGAUAGAAUGACGUACAUAGUGAAUUAUAAUUGUGAAGUUGUAAUGAGCACUGAACACUACUGUGUCACACAAGUAACAGGCUACACGGCGUACUGGUAACUUAUCAUGAGUCUCGUAUGUGGAUAAGCACGGAGUAAUACGACAUGAACCUACUUCAAAGGGUCUUAUCAACCGUCAAAUGUAACUGUACCGUCCGUCCCUACACCUUAAUGUUUUCUACUAUAAAACCUUCUCGACCAAGACCUCGACUACAUGUGGAUGAAACUCAUGAAAGUUAUAACAAAAGAUGAAGGUUUCAACAAACCCACCAUUUAAUAAAAAGUUCAAACGUUCGUAUAUAAAUAAUUAAAAGAUGGGCAACGUGGCGUGUACGGAAAACCGAACCGGAAGCGGGAGGUGCGUGCGGUCGACGCCACCUUCGGAUCGAGGGUGUCGAGACGUCACUCCGUGCGUCUCUCACUGCUGUUGAAGACUUCGGUACCGAUCGGACACUAAUGGUCUCACCGCUACUCACACUAAACUAUGGACAAAACAAACGAGGAAGACAAAACUAAACUCAACUACCCCUACUCUACACUGGGACGACGACCCGCAGCGUUUGCGGUGCCGAGGUACACGGGGUCGAAACCACUACGUGCCCGCUCCGAUGAGCUAGACCACAUCAGCGGGAGGAAGGUUCUUUAGUUCAAGAAAGCAAGUCUAAAAUCUAGAGAACUCAAAGUCGAAUCAAGUUCCUAUCUUUUCGUACGAGGAAUACCUAAGUUACUCCUUUUGGUAGUCGGUGAAUAAGUCUUAACCUACCACACCACGUGGAAGUAGAACGAUAGGUUGAAGAAUCGAAUAAACGAAAUUGAAAUGAUGUCAAUAUAUCGUCCUAUUCCUAGGUUAGAACACUGCGGUGAGGUAAAGGUAGCAGUUUUCAACACGUACUCAACUAAGUCUGAAAGUCUCAAGUCUCUUGUGGAUCGUCUCAAUUAGUCGGACUUCCAUAUAGUCUAGGAUUCCUUUCUCCUGGGCCAAGUCUAAACAGUGAUUAUACACAACAACCUAUCGGUACUUUAACUGCCGCCGCCGAGCCGCCGCCACACCGCUUACUGCUUCGUAGAUUUUACCUGCCUUCUCUCCACCAUUCCGCGCCGACCCUCUGCAUGUAUAAACUCCUUUAUGCUAAGUAUUCCAAAGUAUAAUUGUUUUUAACUAUCAGAAACAUUUCAUUAGGCUUGUAAAACAACUAAGGCCCUGUUGAAAUAAGAGGUUAUACUUAAACAUUCUUUUCUAUACCGUAUGUAAACACAUUUAACUAUUACAUUCGUGUAGAUCUUUGAG